rnacentral:rRNA from 1 species
AUUGAACGCUGGCGGCAUGCCUUACACAUGCAAGUCGAACGGCAGCACGGGUGCUUGCACCUGGUGGCGAGUGGCGAACGGGUGAGUAAUACAUCGGAACGUACCUUAUCGUGGGGGAUAACGCAGCGAAAGCUGUGCUAAUACCGCAUACGCCCUGAGGGGGAAAGCGGGGGAUCGCAAGACCUCGCGCGAUUAGAGCGGCCGAUGCCUGAUUAGCUAGUUGGUGGGGGAAAAGCCCACCAAGGCGACGAUCAGUAGCUGGUCUGAGAGGACGAUCAGCCACACUGGGACUGAGACAAGGCCCAGACUCCUACGGGAGGCAGCAGUGGGGAAUUUUGGACAAUGGGGGCAACCCUGAUCCAGCAAUGCCGCGUGAGUGAAGAAGGCCUUCGGGUUGUAAAGCUCUUUUGUCAGGGAAGAAACACCGGCUCUAACACAGUCCGGGAAUGACGGUACCUGAAGAAUAAGCACCGGCUAACUACGUGCCAGCCGCCGCCGUAA